rnacentral:rRNA from 1 species
GACGAACGCUGGCGGCGUGCUUAACACAUGCAAGUCGAACGAAGUGGCGAACGGGUGAGUAACGCGUAAUCAACCUGCCCUUCAGAGGGGGACAACAGUUGGAAACGACUGCUAAUACCGCAUACUGAAGGAGGGGAUGGGGUCGGCUUAGCUCGUUGGCGGGGUAACGGCCCACCAAGGUGAUGAUCUCUAGCUGGUCUGAGAGGAUGACCAGCCACACCGGUACUGAGACACGGCCCGGACUCCUACGGUAGGCAGCAGUGGGGAAUAUUGCGCAAUGGGGGCAACCCUGACGCAGCCAUGCCGCGUGAAUGAAGAAGGCCUUCGGGUUGUAAAGUUCUUUCGGUGAGGAGCGUUAAUCACAGAAGAAGCACCGGCUAACUCCGUGCCAGCAGCCGCGGUAAUUC